rnacentral:lncRNA from 1 species
UAAAAUUUCCCUUAAAUACUUGCGCUUUUUUUUUCUUUUGAGACAGAGUCUUGCUGUGUCACCCAAGCUGGCGUGCAGUGACAUGAUCACUGCAGCCUUGAAAUCCUGGACUCAGGCUAUCUUCCCACCCCUGCCUUGCAAAGUGCUGAGAUUAUAGGUGUGAGCCACUGGGCCUGGCCCUGUGUGUGUGUGUGUUAUACUUUUUUUUUGAAAAAGCAAGUUGUCAUUAAAAACAAAAUAAAGGAAAAAGCUCACAGUCAUUGACAUUCAAGGCAUAUUUGCUGUUUAUGGAAUUUUUCUUUCCUAGCAGACAUAACUAUCGAGUUUUAGGUUUAGGUGUCUUUUCCUUUGUUUUAUGUGUCUUUACCUUUCAUUGCUUACAGAUAAUAUUGGAGCAAAAGUAAUAUGUAAGCAGAAAGUUAUUUUGCUCUGAGUAGUAUUUGUGUUAACUUAUUCUAGAGUUAAUUUUUUAAAAUUGUGUUUUUUUGUUUUUUUGGUUUUUUUUUUUUCCCCAGAAACAGCAUUUAAAUUUAAAGCCCUAAAGAAGGUUGCACAGUUAGCAGUUAUAAAUAGCCUGGAAAAGGUAAGUUACAACCUUUCUGGUAUUAAAAUUUUGUUUUUGGUGAUAAAAUUUGCCGUGUUCACAUCCUGAAUCAAAAAGUCAUGACUUGAGUUAUAGUAGUAUCGGGUUAAUUUUUAGGAAGAAUACAUUGUAAUAUUACUUUGAAGGAAGUUAGAAGCUUGUGACAUUUACUGUAUUACAAAAGAUCACUGCUUUCAUAUAAACAUGUGUUUCAUUAUUUAUAGGCAUUUUGGAACUGGGUAGAAAAUUAUCCAGAUGAAUUUACAAAACUGUACCAGAUUCCACAGACUGAUAUGGCUGAAUGUGCAGAAAAGCUAUUUGACUUGGUGGAUGGCUUUGCUGAAAGCACCAAACGCAAAGCAGCAGUUUGGCCACUACAAAUCAUUCUCCUUAUCUUGUGUCCAGAAAUAAUCCAGGAUAUAUCCAAGGAUGUGGUUGAUGAAAACAACAUGAAUAAGGUAAGAAGAACAAAAUUAUUUCCAUUAUAUCCAGAUGUGAAGCAGUUUAUUUUACUUAAAGUGUGUAUUACUAAACUAUUUUAGGGGACCAUUUAAAUUAUCAUUUUAGGUCUCUUUGUUUGAUAGACUUAGAAGAGACAUACUCAUACAUAAUUUUACUUGGCAGAGGGAUAAAUAAUAUUGCUUAAUGAUCAAAGAUUUAAAAUAAUCCCUUUGUUUCAUUCUUUUGUCUGAAAAAACUAAACGAUAACUCUGUUACCAUUAAAUGUAGUUUCUCUAGUAUUCACUGCAAGAAUUGCCCUG